UCUCGGGGGGCUGCAGUGGGGAAUAUUGGACAAUGGGCGAAAGCCUGAUCCAGCCAUGCCGCGUGUGUGAAGAAGGCCUUCGGGUUGUAAAGCACUUUCAGUGGGGAAGAAAGCCUUGGGGCUAAUACCCUCGAGGAAGGACAUCACCCACAGAAGAAGCACCGGCUAACUCCGUGCCAGCAGCCGCGGUAAUACGGAGGGUGCGAGCGUUAAUCGGAAUUACUGGGCGUAAAGCGCGCGUAGGCGGUCUGAUAAGCCGGUUGUGAAAGCCCCGGGCUCAACCUGGGAACGGCAUCCGGAACUGUCAGGCUAGAGUGCAGGAGAGGAAGGUAGAAUUCCCGGUGUAGCGGUGAAAUGCGUAGAGAUCGGGAGGAAUACCAGUGGCGAAGGCGGCCUUCUGGACUGACACUGACGCUGAGGUGCGAAAGCGUGGGUAGCAAACAGGAUUAGAUACCCCUGUAGUC
rnacentral:rRNA from 1 species